rnacentral:rRNA from 1 species
GGGGGGGGGGGGGGGGGGGGGGGGCGGGUGGGGGGCGGGCGGGGGGGGGGGGCUGGCGCCUGGGUUCAGCGGCGGACGGGUGGGUACUGCCUCGGAAUCUGCCUGGUGGUGGGGGAUCACGUCCGGAAACGGGCGCUACUACCGCAUACGUCCUGAGGGAGACAGUGUGUGAUCUUCGGACCUCACGCUAUCAGAUGAGCCUAGGUCGGAUUAGCUAGUUGGUGGGGUAAAGGCCUACCAAGGCGACGCUCCGUAACUGGUCUGCGAUGAUGAUCAGUCACACGGGAACGGAGACACGGGCCAGACUCCUGCGGGAGGCAGCAGUCGGGAAUAUUGGACAAUGGGCGAAAGCCUGAUCCAGCCAUGCCGCGUGUGUGAAGAAGGGCUUCGGAUUGUAAAGCACUUUAAGUUGGGAGGAAGGGCAGUAAGUUAAUACCUUGCUGUUUUGACGUUACCAACAGAAUAAGCACCGGCUAACUUCGUG